CGUGCAGGUGGUUUGGUAAGUUGGAUGUGAAAUCUCUCGGCUCAACUGGGAGAGGUCGUUCAAAACUGCCAGGCUAGAGGACGGUAGAGGAAAGUGGAAUUCCCGGUGUAGUGGUGAAAUGCGUAGAUAUCGGGAGGAACACCAGUGGCGAAAGCGACUUUCUGGCCCGUUCCUGACACUAAGACGCGAAAGCUAGGGUAGCAAACG
rnacentral:rRNA from 1 species